UACGGAGGGUGCAAGCGUUAUCCGGAUUCACUGGGUUUAAAGGGUGCGUAGGUGGGCAGGUAAGUCAGUGGUGAAAUCUCCGGGCUUAACCCGGAAACUGCCGUUGAUACUAUUUGUCUUGAAUAUUGUGGAGGUAAGCGGAAUAUGUCAUGUAGCGGUGAAAUGCUUAGAUAUGACACAGAACACCCAUUGCGAAGGCAGCUUACAAAACUACAACUGACACUGAGGCACGAAAGCGUGGGGAUCAAACAGG
rnacentral:rRNA from 1 species